rnacentral:lncRNA from 1 species
AAAAAGUUCAGUUUAGAGUUUAAAACCAUAAUGCUGACUGAAUGGAAAAGAGUUCAGUUUAGGGUUUAAAACCCUAAUGCUGACUGAAGGAAAAGUUCAGUUUAGGGUUUAAAACCCUAAUGCUGACUAAAGUAAAAAGUCUAGUUUAGGGUUUAAAACCCUAAUGCUGACUAAAUGGGAAAAGUUCAGUUUAGGGUUUAAAACCCUAAUGCUGACUAAAUGGAAAAAGUUCAGUUUAGGGUUUAAAACCCUAAUGCUGACUGGCUGGGGACAAAGUUCGAGGAUACUAACUGACC